ensembl:lncRNA
CAGAGUGACUUGGCUCAAGAACCAUAAAAUGGUGAUAGAAGCUGUCAUUCCUAUCCUUUUGCCUUCCCCCAAAGCAGGAAUCCUGGGGCUCCUGGGAACAUCGGUUGGGGGCCAGCCCUGGCAUCCCAUGGCAGCACAGUGCCCAGCAUGACUGCAGUUCUGACACGUCCACGCCAGACGGGCCUUUGGUGUCACCAAGUCUCAGGCUGCCUCAGGCCUCUUCAGCCUGCAGCCUGCAAAAACCCAAGAACUUUAGACACAGAAGAGCUUGGGAAGAAGGUGGAGCCAAGAACAGCACUGGGAAAAGUAUAUGGGUGGAAAUUUCCAUGACUCUUCUGCCAAAGCAGAGGCUUCAGCUGAGGCCCAAGACAGAGACAGACCUGGGAGCUAGAAACCAUCAAGGUCACAAAGAAUCACCCUUCCUCAUUCUCCCAGAUCUUUGUCAUCAGCUGCCCCACCCUGAACCUGGGCCAUAAAACUCAAUCAGUUGUGUCCCCUCUAUUCCAGCCCCACUUGAUAUCAGUCUCCUAGUUUCAUGAGACAUCCCACCACCUCUCCCUCAAGGACACAGCCAACCUCCCGGCCAGUGGAAGCCCCUGCUUUAGGAGCCACAUCAAGGCCCCUUGUCUCCUGCAGGAAGCCUUCCCUGCUGAAUGGCCCAUCUGUCCUUUGGUCACCCUUGGCCAUCAUUGUCCAGUGACCUCCCCAGCACUCUUGUGAUCAUGCCCUUUGCUUAGUGACUCAUCUGUUACCUUCAGCCAUGGUCUGUGACUUUUAUUGCUGUUUAUCACUUAUCCUUGAAAACACAGUCCAAGUCUUCCUAUAGCCCUGCCUCAGCUCAAAAUAGUGGGCUACAUAGCUUGUGUAGCAUCCACACAGAACAUCCUGUGUGUCUUCCAGCUGGUGAGACUCUUGAGAGGCUCACCCCAGAUUCCAACUGCUGGUCCCCAGGACUCACCUUCAACCCAAGCCUGCACUUCCCCAGCAGGAGUCCAGCACGAAUAUUUACAGGCUUGACCUCUUUCCCCACUCCACCCCAACCCCUGUCCGAAUCCCAGAGAGGAUGAAUGAUGGGGACUCAGCCCGGGGUCCUGGCCACAGCCUUCCCUGGGGCCUGUGCGGCCAUGCCCACCAGCCCUCAGCCCCAACCCAACAACAUGGAUGUCCUGGAGCCAAGCAGGUGUCCCCUCCCUGUUCUUCCACUCAGUCAAAAGUCACCUUCCCUCAGUCCCCUAGAAGAUCAUGGAUCUCUCCCCCUCUGCACCCCAUCUGGUUCUAUAACUCUUUGGCCUUUAUAGAGGGGUCAUGGAGAGAGUGGCUUUGAGAGUCCCACACACUUGGUCUCAGCCUGGCUCCCCCCUUGCUGGCUAUGCCCCGUUAUGUGGCAAGUAAGUUAACCUCUCUGAAUCAAGUUUAUUCUUCAGUGAAAUAGGGGUGAUCUGUGUAGUAUUCCCUUCUCAGAGUUGUGAGGAUGUCCAGAGCUUAGUAGAGCACCUGGCUCAAAUGAUGCACCCUGUAAACGGUGGCCGUCACCACCUUCCUUCCCCCCACUCCCGUACUAAGUAGGUAGCCCCCUCCCAGAUUCCCAGAUCUGACUGGAGCCAGGCACAUCUCAGGAAGGGGUUAAACACGGCAAUGACUUCAUCCUUGCCUUGGAGGAGGAAGGAGGCAGAGAAAAUAACAAAAUCAGGCCAGAGACUGGGUGGAAUUUUCCAGUGCUCAUAAACAGGGCCAUCUGGGUUGCUAACUGUGGUCACCAUGGAAACGGUCACGUGUGCCUGCCUUCUGGUUAUUCCAACCUGGCUCAAGGCCGAUGACACAAGCCCCAAGCCUCUUCAUUGGCUGCCACAUUCUCUUGCCACCAAAAUCUAGCAGGAGAUUGGCCAAGUGCAGUUACUGGGCUGGAGUUAGACCUUCCCCACGCCACUGCUGGAACCUGCUGGAAGCUGUUGUUUUGAACCAGAGGAAGAUGGAAAAUAGGCUGCCAGAGAUGUUGCCAUAGCAACUGCUUUCCUUUCUGCUCUCUUAGGAGUUAAUAGUUGACGUCUUUGUAGUUGAAGUACUUUUCCAAAGGCAGAAGGAGUGGCAGCCAUUUUACACUGACUUAAGCAUCUUCUUUGAAGAUGAGGAAACUGAGGCCCUGAGAAGAUAUGUAGACCCAAGGUCACACAGUAGCAGGUGGCAAGAUUUAAAGCCUGGUGGUUUGGCAGCAAGUCCAUGCAGCUAUCUUUCCAGGCACCAGCUGAAAUGAAGACAAAGACAACAUGAGUCAAUCAAAGAAGUUUGAUAGUUCAAUUAGACAUUGUACAGGAGGCAGUGAUUCAAGACCAUCCCCAAGAAGAAGAAAUGCAAAAAGGCAAAAUGGUUGUCUGAGGAGGCCUUACAAAUAGCUGUGAAAAGAAGAGAAGCGAGAGGCAAAGGAGAAAAGGAAAGAUAUAAGCAUCUGAAUGCAGAGUUCCAAACAUAGCAAGGAGAGAUAAGAAAGCCUUCCUCAGGGAUCAAUGCAAAGAAAUAGAGGAAAACAACAGAAGGGGAAAGACUAGAGAUCUCUUCAAG